rnacentral:rRNA from 1 species
AUCGAACGCUGGCGGCAGGCCUAACACAUGCAAGUCGAGCGGAGCGGCGGACGUGUGAGUAAUGCCUAGGAAUCUGCCUGGUAGCGGGGGAUAACGUUCGGAACCGGGCGCUAAUACCGCAUACUAUCAGAUGAGCCUAGGGCGGAUUGGCUAUGUGGUGGGGUAAAGGCCUACCAAGGCGACGAUCCGUAACUGGUCUGAGAGGCUGAUCAGUCACACUGGAACGGAGAAACGGUCCAGACGCCUACGGGAGGCAGCAGUGGGGAAUAUUGGACAAUGGGCGAAAGCAUGAUCCAGCCAUGCCGCGUGUGUGAAGAAGGUCUUGGGAUUGUAAAGCACUUUAAGUUGGGAGGCGUUACCAACAGAAUAAGCACCGGCUAACUUCGUGCCAGCAGCCGCGGUAAUUC